ensembl:lncRNA
AGCAGGCCGGCCGCCGGCGGACGCGCGUGACCUCAGCGCGUGACCUCAGUCCCAGCCUGGUGGCCCUGGAGGUGGACAGCGAGGAGGAGGAGGAGGAGGAGCCACAGUCCCCGCUCUCCCCGCUCUGGUCGGAGGCGGAGAAAAAGGAAGACGAGAGUGAAGGCUCCUCGCCCUCGGCGGACGUCGCCUGCACUUGCAGCCAAUCCGCCUCCUCGGCGAAACAGACGGGUGAGCGUGGGAUUCGACUGCGUUCGUACUCCUACUCCUCCCCCAGAAUCAGCUUCCGUCCCGCCCGUCCGACCCGCGACAGCAACCCGUCGGACCCGAGCCUCGAUGGCGUCCCCCACAGUGUCGGCCACAGCCGCUCUCUCCUUCAGGCGCUCUCUCUGCCUAUGUCUCUGUCUCUCCUCCACCCUGGGAAGCAGAGACCCCCCAUGACGCCAGAGCAGCCGCACGAAAAGAGGUAUUUAUGAUUUCAUUUCACUUUCACUUGUAAAUUGUACUUGUAUUUUGUGUGUUUCUGUAUUGACCUGACUUACUUUGGGCUCCGUCGUAUCAUACGUCAAGAAUGUAAUCCCGUUACUAUGAGCAACGCGUGUGGUAACCAUGACGUCCAGGUUGCUUGGUGACUGGCGGGCGGUUGGUUUAUUUAAAGAACAGCUGGCUGAAUGUGCUUCACGGGUGUUUUCGAUCCCGUCUCCUUUCCAAGAGGAGGUGACGCACAGAUAUCAGCCAGGGUGACUCUGAGCGACCGCCUGGCCGCAGGCAUGACCCAGUGCAUCGUGGGUACACGUCCCGGAGCGCGACGAACGUGCAUUUUGCAGCACUGUGGCCAAUGGCGGUUCGUGGAAAAACUGUAUAAAAUAAAGCAACGGUGCUGCUUUUCAAGGUCUCUGCUCCUGGGGGGGGGGGGGCGAAGUGGCCCGGAAUUAAAAAGAGGAUUUCCGCUCCUCUUCCUGCUCCGCUCGGCCCCUUUUUCACUGAUGCCAAGUGAUAUUUCCUUUACCUCUUCAUGUGCAGCGCCCCCUGGUGGAGGAUACCAGACGCAAUCAAUGCAACUAAUCUUUAUU